CCUACGGGGGGCAGCAGUGGGGAAUAUUGGACAAUGGGCGCAAGCCUGAUCCAGCCAUGCCGCGUGUGUGAAGAAGGCCUUCGGGUUGUAAAGCACUUUUGUCCGGAAAGAAAUCCAAUCGAUUAAUACUCGGUUGGGAUGACGGUACCGGAAGAAUAAGCACCGGCUAACUUCGUGCCAGCAGCCGCGGUAAUACGAAGGGUGCAAGCGUUACUCGGAAUUACUGGGCGUAAAGCGUGCGUAGGUGGUUCGUUAAGUCUGAUGUGAAAGCCCUGGGCUCAACCUGGGAAUGGCAUUGGAUACUGGCGACCUAGAGUGCGGUAGAGGGGUGUGGAAUUCCCGGUGUAGCAGUGAAAUGCGUAGAUAUCGGGAGGAACAUCUGUGGCGAAGGCGACACCCUGGACCAGCACUGACACUGAGGCACGAAAGCGUGGGGAGC
rnacentral:rRNA from 1 species